GCGAUUUAUAAUUUAAUAAGUUCAGCAUGGAAUACAAUUGUACAGAGUUGGAACUGCUCAGUGUAAUACUAAAUCAAAUCUGCCACAUCAAAAUAACAACAUAGUUUAUAUAACAAACCAAAAACUACUUGAAUAGACUUGACGAAUAUUUCUCUAAAUGAGUGAGAAAAGUCAAUUAAGGGAUUACAGAAAAAUUAGCACAUAGAUAAUGAUUAACAAUAGAAC
rnacentral:lncRNA from 1 species